rnacentral:rRNA from 1 species
CCUACGGGAGGCAGCAGUGGGGAAUCUUCCGCAAUGGGCGAAAGCCUGACGGAGCGACGCCGCGUGAGUGAUGACGGCCUUCGGGUUGUAAAGCUCUGUGAUCGGGGACGAACGGUCCGUAAGCUAAUAUCUUAUGGAAGUGACGGUACCCGAAUAGCAAGCCACGGCUAACUACGUGCCAGCAGCCGCGGUAAUA